rnacentral:rRNA from 1 species
UACGUAGGGGGCAAGCGUUGUCCGGAUUUACUGGGUGUAAAGGGCGCGUAGGCGGAUUUGUAAGUCAGAGGUGAAAGCCCGCAGCUUAACUGCGGAACUGCCUUUGAUACUGCUUAUCUUGAAUUCGGAAGAGAGAAGCGGAAUUCCAGGUGUAGUAGUGAAAUACGUAGAUAUCUGGAAGAACACCAGUGGCGAAGGCGGCUUCUUGGUCCGUAAUUGACGCUGAGGCGCGAAAGCGUGGGGAG